rnacentral:rRNA from 1 species
ACUCCUACGGGAGGCAGCAGUAGGGAAUAUUGCACAAUGGGCGAAAGCCUGAUGCAGCAACGCCGCGUGCGCGAAGAAGGCCUUCGGGUCGUAAAGCGCUUUUCGGGGAGAUGAGGAAGGACAGUAUCCCCGGAAUAAGGCUCGGCUAACUACGUGCCAGCAGCCGCGGUAAAACGUAGGAGCCAAGCGUUAUCCGAAUUCACUGGGCGUAAAGCGCGUGCAGGCGGCCUGGUAAGUUGGAUGUGAAAUCUCCUGGCUCAACUGGGAGAGGCCGUUCAAUACUGUCAGGCUAGAGGGCGACAGAGGGAGGUGGAAUUCCGGGUGUAGUGGUGAAAUGCGUAGAUAUCCGGAGGAACACCAGAGGCGAAGGCGACCUCCUGGGUCGCACCUGACGCUCAGACGCGAAAGCUAGGGGAGCAAACGGGAUUAGAAACCCCGGUAGUCCUAGCCGUAAACGAUGUAGACUGGGUGUCGGCGGGGUAAAAGCCGUCGGUGCCGAAGCCAACGCGAUAAGUCUACCGCCUGGGGACUACGGCCGCAAGGUUAAAACUCAAAUGAAUUGACGG